GGUCCUGUAGUCUAGCGGUUAGGACAUUGGAUUCUGAUUCCAUUAAAAUUCCAAGAGCCCAGGUUCGAGUCCUGGCAGGACCU
rnacentral:tRNA from 1 species